GGGGAUCGAAAGACCUCGCGUCUAAAGAGGAGCCUGCGGCGGAUUAGCUAGUUGGUAAGGUAACGGCUUACCAAGGCAACGAUCCGUAGCCGGCCUGAGAGGGCGGUCGGCCACACUGACACUGACAUACGGGUCAGACUCCUACGGGAGGCAGCAGUCGGGAAUUUUGGGCAAUGGGCGAAAGCCUGACCCAGCAACGCCGCGUGAAGGAUGAAAUCCCUCGGGAUGUAAACUUCACAAGAACGGGAAGAAUAAGUAGGGGACAAUACCCCCUAUGAUGACGGUACCGUUUGUAAGCUCCGGCUAACUCCGUGCCAGCAGCCGCGGUAAUACGGGGGGAGCAAGCGUUGUUCGGAUUUACUGGGCGUAAAGGGCGCGUAGGCGGCCACCGCAAGUCAAUUGUGAAAUCCCCGGGCUUAACUCGGAAAGGUCAACUGAUACUGCGGGGCUAGAGUGCGGAAGGGGCAACUGGAAUUCUCGGUGUAGCGGUGAAAUGCGUAGAUAUCGAGAGGAACACCUGCGGCGAAGGCGGGUUGCUGGGCCGACACUGACGCUGAGGCGCGAAAGCCAGGGGAGCGAACGGGAUUAGAUACCCCGGUAGUCCUGGCCUUAAACGAUGAAUGCUUGGUGUCUGGGGUUAUAAAGUCCCCGGGUGCCGUCGCUAACGCUUUAAGCAUUCCGCCUGGGGAGUACGGUCGCAAGACUGAAACUCAAAGGAAUUGACGG
rnacentral:rRNA from 1 species